UACGUAGGGUGCGAGCGUUAAUCGGAAUUACUGGGCGUAAAGCGCACGUAGGCGGAUUUUGUAAGUCAGGGUGAAAUCCCGGGGCUCAACCUCGGAACUGCCUUUUGAUACUGCAAAUCUCGAGUCCGAUAGAGGUGGGUGGAAUUCCUAGUGUAGAGGUGAAAUUCGUAGAUAUUAGGAAGAACACCGGUGGCGAAGGCGGCCCACUGGAUCGGUACUGACGCUGAGGUGCGAAAGCGUGGGGAGCAAACAGG
rnacentral:rRNA from 1 species